UCGUAAUAGUUGGCUAAUUUGGGGAUGUUUGGAUUGAACUAUUAUUAUUCCUUCAAUGAUUAUCGGUUCCUUAUGGUCAACUGACAACCAUGAGACCAUUCAAAAAGGUAUGAAACGUUCCCAUCUUUAACUAUAAUACAUAUUU